GACGAACGCUGGCGGCGUGCCUAAUACAUGCAAGUAGAACGCACGGUUUAUACCGUAGCUUGCUACACCAUAGACUGUGAGUUGCGAACGGGUGAGUAACGCGUAGGUAACCUGCCUGGUAGCGGGGGAUAACUAUUGGAAACGAUAGCUAAUACCGCAUAAUAUUAAUUAUUGCAUGAUAAUUAAUUGAAAGGUGCAAUUGCACCACUACCAGAUGGACCUGCGUUGUAUUAGCUAGUAGGUGAGGUAACGGCUCACCUAGGCGACGAUACAUAGCCGACCUGAGAGGGUGAUCGGCCACACUGGGACUGAGACACGGCCCAGACUCCUACGGGAGGCAGCAGUAGGGAAUCUUCGGCAAUGGACGAAAGUCUGACCGAGCAACGCCGCGUGAGUGAAGAAGGUUUUCGGAUCGUAAAGCUCGGUUGUAAGAGAAGAACGGGUGUGAGAGUGGAAAGUUCACACUGUGACGGUAUCUUACCAGAAAGGGACGGCUAACUACGUG
rnacentral:rRNA from 1 species